rnacentral:misc_RNA from 1 species
GAUGAAGAACGUAGCGAAAUGCGAUAAGUAAUGUGAAUUGCAGAAUUCAGUGAAUCAUCGAAUCUUUGAACGCACCUUGCGCUCCUUGGUAUUCCGAGGAGCAUGCCUGUUUGAGUGUCAUUAAUAUAUCAACCUCUUCAGCUUAUGCUUGUUGAGUGUUGGAUGGUGGGGGUUUGCUGGUGUCUUAUGAAGUCAGCUCCUCUGAAAUGCAUUAGCGGAACAAUUUGUUGACCGUUCAUUGGUGUGAUAAAAAUAUCUACGCUAUUGACGUCAGUCAGUUCAGCUUCUAACAGUCCAUUGACUUGGACAAAUUUUUCAUUAAUGUGAACUCAAAUCAGGUAGGACUACCCGCUGAACUUAAGCAUAUCAAUAAGCGGAGGA